GCUUCACAGAGGAGUCAGCGAUUUGAUGGCCUUCUCGUUACCAUUGCAGCCUGAUCUGAACCAAUCUAGUCACACUCCAAUCCUAAGUUCUGGAGGCUGGAAGUCCGAGGUCAGGGUGCCAGUACGGUCGAGGUCUGGUGAGAGCUCUCUUCCAGGUUGCAGUCUGCUGACUUCUUGUUGUGUCCUCACGUGGUGGAAGGGGACACAGCUGAUUAUUUCAGGGAUGGGAAUGAUCCAAGUUUGGCCAAUUAGCUUCCCUUUCCAUGAAAUGGGGAAUUGAAACAC